UGCAACGAGGAAUGCCAAAUUCCACUGUAUAAUAAAAAUUAUUCAGUUCAUAAGCAAUUUAAAUCGUCAUCCACACUGCUGCAGAGAGGAGCAUACUUUAGUACGAGUGACAUACUGCAAGUCUUAAUAUUCUCCAUUUGAGUUCUUUGAGCUAAGCCACAAAAAAUUACUUCUCAAAGAAAGAAAUGAACAAAUUACAAGUCAGUGAGAAGAUCUUACAUGGAUCAAAUGAGAAUUUCUCAA
rnacentral:misc_RNA from 1 species